rnacentral:lncRNA from 1 species
AGUUUAGCGUAAACCGGGAAGCGGAUCGCGUGGAGUGAAAGUCACCGCAGCGAUGAAGUUGCGCUCUUGUUGCCCAGGCUGGAGUGCAGUGGCGUGAUCUCAGCUCACUGCAACCUUUGCCUCCCGGGUUCAAGCGAUUCUCCUGCCUUAGCCCCCUGAGUAGCUGGGAUUACAGGCUGGAGUGCAAUGGCGAGAUCUCAGCUCACUGCAACUGCUGUCUCCCGGGUUCAAGCAAUUGUCCUGCCUCAGCCUCCUGAAUAGCUGGGAUUACAGGUGCCCACCACCACUACCAGGAGAUGGACAAACCAUGUGGGUGCCCUCCAGGUGUGUGCGACCAUGAAAUGGGAGACUAGCAGGACCCACGUUGGCCAACCGUGGACCUGGUCCCUCCAGUAGGAGUCGUGAGCCAGCUGAAUUUGAAUGCAAAGAUGGAGCAAGGGCCGACUGGAGUCACACUGACAUCCACCCCCAUAACAUGGGGACAGAUCAAGAAAACAAAGCAGGAAGCUGAGAAAAUGCUGGAGCAUCCAUGUGCUUGGCCAUGUUAGCAGUAGUGUCCUGUGAGGUAUGUUUC